rnacentral:rRNA from 1 species
AUACGUAGGUGGCAAGCGUUGUCCGGAUUUACUGGGUGUAAAGGGUGCGUAGGCGGGGCAGCAAGUUGGAUGUGAAAUCCUCGGGCUCCACUCGAGAACUGCAUUCAAAACUGUUGCUCUUGAGUGCAGUAGAGGCAAGCGGAAUUCCCGGUGUAGCGGUGAAAUGCGCAGAGAUCGGGAGGAACACCAGUGGCGAAGGCGGCUUGCUGGGCUGUUACUGACGCUGAGGCACGAAAGCAUGGGUAGCAAACAGGAUUAGAUACCCUGGUAGUCCAUGCUGUAAACGAUGAUUACUAGGUGUGGGUGGACUGACCCCAUCCGUGCCGGAGUUAACACAUUAAGUAAUCCACCUGGGGAGUACGGCCGCAAGGUUGAAACUCAAAUGAAUUGACGGGG